rnacentral:rRNA from 1 species
UGAGGAAUAUUGGACAAUGGGUGAGAGCCUGAUCCAGCCAUCCCGCGUGAAGGACGACGGCCCUAUGGGUUGUAAACUUCUUUUGUAUAGGGAUAAACCUUUCCACGUGUGGAAAGCUGAAGGUACUAUACGAAUAAGCACCGGCUAACUCCGUUCCAUCAGCCGCGGUAAUACGGAGGGUGCAAGCGCUAUCCGGAUUUAUUUGGUUCAAAGGGUCCGUAGGCGGGCUCGUAAGUCAGUGGUGAAAUCUCAUAGCUUAACUAUGAAACUGCCAUUGAUACAGCGAGCCUUGAGUAAGGUAGAGAUAGCUAGAAUAAGUAGUGUAGCGGUGAGAUGCAUAGAUAAUACUUAGAACACCAAUAGAGAAGGCAGGAUACCAUAUCUUAACAGACGCUGAUGGACGAAAGCGUGGGGAGCGAACA